rnacentral:rRNA from 1 species
UACGUAGGGGGCAAGCGUUGUCCGGAAUCAUUGGGCGUAAAGAGCGUGUAGGCGGUUCGGUAAGUCGGCUGUGAAAGUCCAGGGCUCAACCCUGGGAUGCCGGUCGAUACUGCCGGACUAGAAUUCGGAAGAGGCGAGUGGAAUUCCCGGUGUAGUGGUGAAAUGCGUAGAUAUCGGGAGGAACACCAGUGGCGAAGGCGACUACCUGGCCUGUUCUUGACGCUGAGGCGCGAAAGCUAGGGGAGCAAACGGG